UUCACCUACGGGGGGCAGCAGUCGGGAAUAUUGCACAAUGGAGGGAACUCUGAUGCAGUGACGCCGCGUGCAGGAAGAAGGUUUUCGGAUUGUAAACUGCUUUAGAUAGGGAAGAAGAAAAGACAGUACCUAUAGAAUAAGCUCCGGCUAACUACGUGCCAGCAGCCGCGGUAAUACGUAGGGAGCAAGCGUUAUCCGGAUUUAUUGGGUGUAAAGGGUGCGUAGACGGAGAAGCAAGUUAGUUGUGAAAUCCCUCGGCUUAACUGAGGAGCUGCAACUAAAACUACUUCCCUUGAGUACUGGAG
rnacentral:rRNA from 1 species